UACAGAGGGUGCAAGCGUUGUUCGGAAUUAUUGGGCGUAAAGCGCGUGUAGGCGGCUUUGCAAGUCGGGUGUGAAAUCCCUCAGCUUAACUGAGGAAGUGCGCCCGAAACUGCCGAGCUUGAGUACCGGAGAGGGUGGCGGAAUUCCCCAAGUAGAGGUGAAAUUCGUAGAUAUGGGGAGGAACACCGGUGGCGAAGGCGGCAUCCUGGACCGGCAUUGACGCUGAGGCGCGAAAGCCAGGGGAGCAAACGGG
rnacentral:rRNA from 1 species